rnacentral:rRNA from 1 species
GAUGAACGCUAGCGGCAGGCUUAAUACAUGCAAGUCGUGGGGCAGCAGGUCUGUAGCAAUACAGAUGCUGGCGACCGGCAAACGGGUGCGGAACACGUACACAACCUUCCUUUAAGUGGGGGAUAGCCCAGGGAAACUUGGAUUAAUACCCCGUAAUAUAUAGAAACGGCAUCGCUUUUAUAUUAUAGCAGCAAUGCGCUUGAAGAUGGGUGUGCGGCUGAUUAGAUAGGUGGCGGGGUAACGGCCCACCAAGUCGACGAUCAGUAACUGGUGUGAGCGCACGACCAGUCACACGGGCACUGAGAAACGGGCCCGGCUCCUACGGGAGGCAGCAGUAAGGAAUAUGGGUAAAUGGACGCAAGUCUGAACCAGCCAUGCCGCGUGGUGGAUGAAGGUCCUCUGGAUUGUACACUUCUUUUAUCUGGCAAGAACUCCACUUUUUCUAAGGUGGUUGACGGUACCAGAUGAAUAAGCACCGGCUAACUCCGUGCCAGCCGCCGCAGUAACAC